GUCCGCACCGUAACGAUGGAUACUAGGCGUUCGGAGAGUUAACCCUCUGAGUGCCAAAGUUCACACAUUAAGUAUCCCGCCUGGGAAGUACGGUCGCAAGACUAAACUCAAAGGAAUUGACGGGGCCCGCACAAGCGGUGGAGUAUGUGGUUUAAUUCGAAGCAACGCGCAGAACCUUACCUGGCCUUGACAUCGCGAGAUCGGUACAGAGAUGUAUCUUUGCCUUCGGGCACUCGUAGACAGGUGCUGCAUGGCUGUCGU
rnacentral:rRNA from 1 species